rnacentral:rRNA from 1 species
AGAGUUUGAUCCUGGCUCAGAGCGAACGCUGGCGGCAGGCCUAACACAUGCAAGUCGAGCGCUCCGCAAGGGGAGCGGCAGACGGGAGAGUAACACGUGGGAACGUACCCUUCAGUUCGGAACAACCCAGGGAAACUUGGGCUAAUACCGAAUACGUCCGUAAGGAGAAAGAUUUAUCGCUGAAGGAUCGGCCCGCGUCUGAUUAGCUUGUUGGUGAGGUAACGGCUCACCAAGGCGACGAUCAGUAGCUGGUCUGAGAGGAUGAUCAGCCUCACUGGGACUGAGACACGGCCCAGACUCCUACGGGAGGCAGCAGUGGGGAAUAUUGGACAAUGGGCGCAAGCCUGAUCCAGCCAUGCCGCGUGGGUGAUGGAGGCCCUAGGGUUGUAAAGCCCUUCGGCGGG